rnacentral:miRNA from 1 species
AAGUAGACAGCAUGAAUUCGGGAAUUGGUAGUGUGUAUAUAUAUAUAUAUAUAUAUAUAUAUAUAUAUAUAUACACACUACCAAUUCCCGAAUUCAUGCUGUCUACUU